CAGUAGCCGCGGGAAUACAGAGGGUGCGAGCGUUAAUCGGAUUUACUGGGCGUAAAGCGUGCGUAGGCGGCUUUUUAAGUCGGAUGUGAAAUCCCUGAGCUUAACUUAGGAAUUGCAUUCGAUACUGGGAAGCUAGAGUAUGGGAGAGGAUGGUAGAAUUCCAGGUGUAGCGGUGAAAUGCGUAGAGAUCUGGAGGAAUACCGAUGGCGAAGGCAGCCAUCUGGCCUAAUACUGACGCUGAGGUACGAAACCAUGGGGAGCAAACAGGAUUAGAUACCCGUGUAGUCCCUGUCUCUUAUAC
rnacentral:rRNA from 1 species